rnacentral:rRNA from 1 species
UACGUAGGGACCGAGCGUUGUCCGGAUUCAUUGGGCGUAAAGAGCUCGUAGGCGGCUGUUCAAGUCUAACGUGAAAACUCGGAGCUCAACUCCGAGCCUGCGUUCGAUACUGGAUGGCUAGAGUCUGGUAGGGGGAUCUGGAAUUCCUGGUGUAGCGGUGGAAUGCGCAGAUAUCAGGAGGAACACCGGUGGCGAAGGCGGGAUCCUGGGCCAGUACUGACGCUGAGGAGCGAAAGCGUGGGAAGCAAACAGG